rnacentral:rRNA from 1 species
GACAGAGGGUGCAAACGUUGUUCGGAAUUACUGGGCGUAAAGCGCGCGUAGGCGGCUUUGCAAGUCGGGUGUGAAAUCCCCAGGCUUAACCUGGGAAUUGCAUUCGAGACUGCAUUGCUAGAGUAUGGGAGAGGGAAGUGGAAUUUCCGGUGUAGCGGUGAAAUGCGUAGAUAUCGGAAGGAACAUCAGUGGCGAAAGCGACUUCCUGGACCAAUACUGACGCUCAUGUGCGAAAGCGUGGGGAGCAAACAGGG